rnacentral:rRNA from 1 species
UUGAUUCUGGCUCAGGAUGAACGCUGGCGGCGUGCCUAACACAUGCAAGUCGAACGGACUUACAUUGAAGCCUAGCGAUAUGUAAGUUAGUGGCGGACGGGUGAGUAACGCGUGGGUAACCUGCCUUGUACUGGGGGACAACAGUUGGAAACGACUGCUAAUACCGCAUAAGCGCACAGCUUCGCAUGAAGCAGUGUGAAAAACUCCGGUGGUACAAGAUGGACCCGCGUCUGAUUAGCUGGUUGGUGAGGUAACGGCCCACCAAGGCGACGAUCAGUAGCCGGCCUGAGAGGGUGAACGGCCACAUUGGGACUGAGACACGGCCCAAACUCCUACGGGAGGCAGCAGUGGGGAAUAUUGCACAAUGGGGGAAACCCUGAUGCAGCAACGCCGCGUGAGUGAAGAAGUAUUUCGGUAUGUAAAGCUCUAUCAGCAGGAAAGAAAAUGACGGUACCUGACUAAGAAGCCCCGGCUAACUACGUGCCAGCAGCCGCGGUAAUACGUAGGGGGCAAGCGUUAUCCGGAUUUACUGGGUGUAAAGGGAGCGUAGACGGUUUUGCAAGUCUGAAGUGAAAGCCCGGGGCUUAACCCCGGGACUGCUUUGGAAACUGUAGAACUAGAGUGCAGGAGAGGUAAGUGGAAUUCCUAGUGUAGCGGUGAAAUGCGUAGAUAUUAGGAGGAACACCAGUGGCGAAGGCGGCUUACUGGACUGUAACUGACGUUGAGGCUCGAAAGCGUGGGGAGCAAACAGGAUUAGAUACCCUGGUAGUCCACGCCGUAAACGAUGAUUACUAGGUGUUGGUGGGUAUGACCCAUCGGUGCCGCAGCAAACGCAAUAAGUAAUCCACCUGGGGAGUACGUUCGCAAGA